AAAUUUGAAAUCUGGCGCAAGCCCGAGUUGUAAUUUGUAGAGGAUGCUUCUAGGUAGCGGCCGUUCUAAGUUCCUUGGAACAGGACGUCAUAGAGGGUGAGAAUCCCGUAUGUGACCGGCACGCACCUUCUACGCAGCUCCUUCGACGAGUCGAGUUGUUUGGGAAUGCAGCUCUAAAUGGGAGGUAAAUUUCUUCUAAAGCUAAAUACCGGCUGGAGACCGAUAGCGCACAAGUAGAGUGAUCGAAAGAUGAAAAGCACUUUGGAAAGAGAGUUAAAAAGCACGUGAAAUUGUUGAAAGGGAAGCGCCUGCAACCAGACUUCGCGGCAGUGUUCCGCCGGUCUUCUGACCGGUUCAUUCUCUGUCGCGAGGCCAUCAUCGUCUGGGGCCGCCGGAUAAGACUGGAGGAAUGUAGCUCCCCUCGGGGCGUGUUAUAGCUUUCAGUGAUGCGGCGUGUCUCGGGCGAGGUCCGCGCUUCGGCAAGGAUGAUGGCGUAAUGGUUGUCGGCGGCCCGUCUUGAAACACGGACCAAGGAGUCUAACAUCUAUGCGAGUGUUCGGGUGUCAAACCCCUACGCGUAAUGAAAGUGAACGGAGGUGGGAACUUUUUGUGCACCAUCGACCGAUCCUGAUGUCCUCGGAUGGAUUUGAGUAAGAGCAUAGCUGUUGGGACCCGAAAGAUGGUGAACUAUGCCUGAAUAGGGUGAAGCCAGAGGAAACUCUGG
rnacentral:rRNA from 1 species